GAUGAACGCUAGCGGCAGGCUUAACACAUGCAAGUCGAGGGGUAGAGGAAGCUUGCUUCCUUGAGACCGGCGCACGGGUGCGUAACGCGUAUACAAUCUACCUUUUACAGAGGGAUAGCCCCAGAGAAAUUUGGAUUAAUACCUCAUAGUAUUUUCGGAUCGCAUGAUUUGAUUAUUAAAGUUCCAACGGUAAAGAUGAGUAUGCGUCCCAUUAGCUAGAUGGUAAGGUAACGGCUUACCAUGGCAAUGAUGGGUAGGGGUCCUGAGAGGGAGAUCCCCCACACUGGUACUGAGACACGGACCAGACUCCUACGGGAGGCAGCAGUGAGGAAUAUUGGACAAUGGGCGCAAGCCUGAUCCAGCCAUGCCGCGUGCAGGAUGACGGUCCUAUGGAUUGUAAACUGCUUUUAUACAGGAAG
rnacentral:rRNA from 1 species